CUUUCAUGCUGUUUUCAUUGGGACAGAGGGCAGACGCAUCAACUGACUGGAGAGAAUUUACAAGUCCUGAGGGAAGAAAGUAUUACUACAACAAGGUUACUAGAACGUCCAAAUGGAGAAUGCCUGAUGAAGUCAAGUUGGCUCGUGAAAAGGACACCAUUUCGCACGCUUCUGAUUUUGGAUCCAUUUCUGUUGUUAAAACAUCAUCCCCUAGUGCAGAU